CCUACGGGUGGCAGCAGUGAGGAAUAUUGGUCAAUGGGCGCGAGCCUGAACCAGCCACGUCGCGUGAGGGAAGACGGUCCUAUGGAUUGUAAACCUCUUUUGUCGGGGAGCAAAAGACGCCACGCGUGGCGUUCCGAGAGUACCCGAAGAACAAGCAUAGGCUAACUCCGUGCCAGCAGUCGCGGUAAUACGGAGGAUGCGAGCGGUAUCCGGAUGUAUUGGGUUUAAAGGGUGCGCAGGUGGAAGAGAAAGGCAGCGGUAAAAUUGAGAGGCUCAACCUGUUCGAGCCGUUGAAACUGGUUUUCUUGAGUGAGUGAGAAGGAUGCGGAAUGCGUGGUGUAGCGGUGAAAUGCAUAGAUAUCACGCAGAACUCCGAUUGCGAAGGCAGCAUACCGGCGCUCAACUGACGCUCAUGCACGAAAGUGUGGGUAUCGAACAGGAUUAGAUACCCUUGUAAUC
rnacentral:rRNA from 1 species